rnacentral:rRNA from 1 species
UGGGGAAUAUUGCGCAAUGGGCGAAAGCCUGACGCAGCGACGCCGCGUGAGGGAUGAAGGUUUUCGGAUCGUAAACCUCUGUCAGAAGGGAAGAAACCGCACUGUGCUAAUCAGCAGUGCCUUGACGGUACCUUCAAAGGAAGCACCGGCUAACUCCGUGCCAGCAGCCGCGGUAAUACGGAGGGUGCAAGCGUUAAUCGGAAUUACUGGGCGUAAAGCGCACGUAGGCUGCUUUGUAAGUCAGGGGUGAAAUCCCACGGCUCAACCGUGGAACUGCCUUUGAUACUGCAUAGCUUGAAUCCGGGAGAGGGUGGCGGAAUUCCAGGUGUAGGAGUGAAAUCCGUAGAUAUCUGGAGGAACAUCAGUGGCGAAGGCGGCCACCUGGACCGGUAUUGACGCUGAGGUGCGAAAGCGUGGGGAGCAAACAGG